GACGUAGGGCGCGAGCGUUGUCCGGAUUUAUUGGGCGUAAAGAGCUCGUAGGCGGCUUGUCGCGUCGAAUGUGAAAACUCGGGGCUCAACUCCGAGCUUGCAUUCGAUACGGGCAGGCUAGAGUUCGGUAGGGGGAGACUGGAAUUCCUGGUGUAGCGGUGAAAUGCGCAGAUAUCAGGAGGAACACCGAUGGCGAAGGCAGGUCUCUGGGCCGAUACUGACGCUGAGGAGCGAAAGCGUGGGGAGCGAACAGG
rnacentral:rRNA from 1 species